UGUCUCAUAAAUGUAAUGACUAUUCACGUAUGCCCUUUCCACUGUGAAUAGAAAUGAUGCUAAUGACUGUGCCCAUGUACACUGUUCGGAGGAUGAAAAAUAUUUUAUUAUAAUUUAGGAUAAGGAUUGAAAGCUUAUUUAUCUCCCUAUCUUCCAUCGUGUCCGCGUUAAUCAGCCUUGACCACUCCCCUCCCCACCGCUCGCCCAAUCGUUACUCCCUACUGCUCACAUCCUCUCUUCAUCCCACCCCGUGACACUCUCAGGGUAUCCUCGCCCUUCAAUGCAGUCAGUUAUUAUGGCAAGGCAGAAAAGCAAAUGAUCUAUUCAAGAACGUCGAAUUUUAGAUCGCAAUAGAAAACCGGCAAGAGCUGAUUAAGAACGUUGAAAAAAAAAGGAAAAAGAAAAAACAGCUACAAAUAAUAAAAUUCAAGAACAAAAAUAA